UGGCAACUUGCCCAAAUAAAACCAGGACUUAGACAAAUGCUGUUUUGCCCUGAUUCUCGAGCCCCACCUUUACUGCAGGAUUGUUUUAAAAAAUAUUGAUUUGUGUGAAUUUUUUUUUCCCUGAGUGUUCACAAACCUUCCAAGCAUGCAGAUGGUUCUGCCUCAGGGGUUUCUGAAGGACAGUAAGCAAAAUACUGCCUGAAAAGUCAAGUCUCUUGCUGCAUUUUUGUAAAAUGUAAAAAUGUGGUGAUGAUACCAGGUAACCCAGGAAGAUUCUUGGGUUUUUUUUUGUGUGUGUCUGUGUGUAUGAUGCUGGGGGUUGAACCCAGGGCCUUGUGCAUGCAAGGCAAGCCCUCUACCAAUCGAGCUAUACCCCAUCCCCUUGUGUAGCUCUUUGACCUCUGUCUUCUAUGUUAAGAGUUUCAUGAGGAGAGGGACAAUACCUUGUCCUAACCUAGGAAGCAGCACAGAUUUGGGUACUCAGUAGAUGUUCAAGGGAUACCUACUGAAUGCUUGAGUGAACCACUGAGUGAACUUGGAACAAUCAUCGUUAGUCAAAACCUCAGGGGUCACACAGCCCAACAUCUUGAGAAGCUAAGAACUCCACACAAUCUUCUUCUUCUUCUUUUUUUAGUUUUAGUUGGACACAAUAUCUUUAUUUUAUUUAUCUAUUUUUAUGUGGUGCUGAGGAUCGAACCCAGGACCUCGCACGUGCUAGUCGAGCACUCUACUACUGAGCCACAACCCCAGCCCCUCCACACAAUCUCUGAGUGACUUUCUUUCCCUUGACCUAGGUAUCUUCAGUCUCCAAAUUUAUCCUAAUGGAUCAAGAUCAAAUCCUGAGCCAUCUGCUUAUAAACCACCAUUGUCCUCCCCUGUCCUUAAGCUCACUGCAGUAUUAGGCCUCUUCUAUGGGUAUUGCAAUGCCCUCUGUCUCACAGAACCUCAGUCCUU
rnacentral:lncRNA from 1 species